CAGCCGCCGCGGGAACACGUAGGGUGCGAGCGUUAAUCGGAAUUACUGGGCGUAAAGCGUGCGCAGGCGGUUGUGUAAGACAGGUGUGAAAUCCCCGGGCUUAACCUGGGAACUGCGCUUGUGACUGCACAGCUAGGGUAUGGCAGAGGGGGGUGGAAUUCCACGUGUAGCAGUGAAAUGCGUAGAGAUCGGGAGGAACAUCAGUGGCGAAGGCGGCCAUCUGGGACAACACUGACGCUGAGGCACGAAAGCGUGGGGAGCAAACAGGAUUAGAGACCCCGUAGUCCCUGUCUCUUAUACA
rnacentral:rRNA from 1 species